rnacentral:rRNA from 1 species
UACGUAGGCAGCGAGCGUUGUUCGGAGUUACUGGGCGUAAAGCGUGCGCAGGCGGUUUUGUAAGCCAGAUGUGAAAUCCCCGGGCUUAACCUGGGAAUGGCAUUUGGGACUGCAAGGCUUGAGUGCGGCAGAGGAGACUGGAAUUCCUGGUGUAGCAGUGAAAAUGCGUAGAUAUCAGGAGGAACACCGAUGGCGAAGGCAGGUCUCUGGGCUGACACUGACAUCAUGCCACGAAAAGCGUGG